UAGUCGAUGAAAGCUAUGUACAGUGGUC
rnacentral:sRNA from 1 species